rnacentral:rRNA from 1 species
UGCGAAUGGCUCAUUAUAUAAGUUAUCGUUUAUUUGAUAGUGCCUUACUACUUGGAUAACCGUGGUAAUUCUAGAGCUAAUACAUGCUAAAAACCCCGACUUCGGAAGGGGUGUAUUUAUUAGAUACAAAACCAAUGCCCUUCGGGGCUCUUUGGUGAUUCAUGAUAACUAUACGAAUCGCACGGCCUUGCGCCGGCGAUGGUUCAUUCAAAUUUCUUCCCUAUCAACUUUCGAUGUUUGGGUCUUGGCCAAACAUGGUUGCAACGGGUAACGGAGGGUUAGGGCUCGACCCCGGAGAAGGAGCCUGAGAAACGGCUACUACAUCCAAGGAAGGCAGCAGGCGCGCAAAUUACCCAAUCCCGACUCGGGGAGGUAGUGACAAUAAAUACUGAUACAGGGCCCUUUCGGGCCUUGUAAUUGGAAUGAGUACAAUUUAAAUCCCUUAACGAGGAACAAUUGGAGGGCAAGUCUGGUGCCAGCAGCCGCGGUAAUUCCAGCUCCAAUAGCGUAUAUUAAAGUUGUUGUGGUUAAAAAGCUCGUAGUUGAACCUUGGGCCUGGCUGGCCGGUCCGCCUCACCGCGUGCACUGGUCCGGCCGGGCCUUUCCCUCUGUGGAACCCCAUACCCUUCACUGGGCGUGGCGGGGAAACAGGACAUUUACUUUGAAAAAAUUAGAGUGCUCCAGGCAGGCCUAUGCUCGAAUACAUUAGCAUGGAAUAAUAAAAUAGGACGCGCGGUUCUAUUUUGUUGGUUUAUAGGACCGCCGUAAUGAUUAAUAGGGACAGUCGGUGGCAUCAGUAUUCAAAUGUCAGAGGUGAAAUUCUUGGAUCAUUUGAAGACUAACUACUGCGAAAGCAUUUGCCAAGGAUGUUUUCAUUAAUCAGGAACGAAAGUUAGGGGAUCGAAGACGAUCAGAUACCGUCGUAGUCUUAACCAUAAACUAUGCCGACUAGGGAUCGGACGGUGUUAUUCAUGACCCGUUCGGCACGU